rnacentral:rRNA from 1 species
CCUACGGGUGGCAGCAGUGAGGAAUAUUGGUCAAUGGCCGGAAGGCUGAACCAGCCAUGCCGCGUGAAGGUCAGUGCCCUAUGGGCGUUAAACUUCUUUUGUGCGGGAGCAAUAUUGGUCACGUGUGGCCAGACGAGAGUACUGUACGAAUAAGCAUCGGCUAACUCCGUGCCAGCAGCCGCGGGAAUACGGGGGAUGCAAGCGUUAUCCGGAUUUUUUGGGUUUAAAGGGUGCGUAGGCUGUGAGGUGAGUCAGCGGGGAAAUGCCGCGGCUCAACGGGGUGAAGUGCCAUUGAUACUGCCUUGCUGGAAUGCGGGUGCCGUGGGAGGAAUGUGUGGUGUAGCGGUGAAAUGCAUAGAUAUCACACAGAACACCGAUUGCGAAGGCAGCUCACGAAACCGCGAUUGACGCUGAUGCACGAAAGCGUGGGGAUCAAACAGGAUUAGAUACCCCUGUAGUC